GUGCUGGGCGCCAGAGGGUAAAAGGCUGCGGUCACCUUUAUAGAUCCCAGGUCACCUGUAUAGACCGAGAGGACUCUGCUUUAAAGCACCCAGAAGGUUCUACUGCGGGACCAGUGUGGACAAGAGGCUGGGAGAGGAG
rnacentral:lncRNA from 1 species